rnacentral:rRNA from 1 species
AGGCGUUUGAUUCUGGCUCAGUGAGAACGCUGGCGGCAUGCUUAACACAUGCAAGUCGAUAGAAGGCUUCGGCCUUAGUGGCGCACGGGUGCGUAACGCGUGGGAAUCUGCAGUCAGGUACGGAAUAACUAGGGGAAACUCGAGCUAAUACCGUAUGACAUCGAGAGAUCAAAGAUUUAUCGCCUGAAGAUGAGCCCGCGUUGGAUUAGCUAGUUGGUAGACUAAAAGCUUACCAAGGCGACGAUCCAUAGCUGGUCUGUUAGGAUGAUCAGCCACACUGGGACUGAGACACGGCCCAGACUCCUACGGGAGGCAGCAGUGGGGAAUAUUGGACAAUGGGCGAAACCCUGAUCCAGCAAUGCCGCGUGAUAGAAGAAGGCCUUAGGGUUGUAAAGCUCUGUUACCCGGGAUGAUAAUGACAGUACCGGAAGAAUAAGCUCCGGCUAACUCCACGCCAGCAGCCGCGGUAAUACGGAGGGAGCUAGCGUUGUUCGGACUUACUGGGCGUAAAGCGUACGUAGGCGGUUUAAUAAGUCAGCGGUGAAAGCCCAGAGCUCAACUCUGGAACUGCCUUUGAGACUGUUAGACUAGAACAUAGAAGAGGUAAGUGGAAUUCCGAGUGUAGAGGUGAAAUUCGUAGAUAUACGGAAGAACACCAGUGGCGAAGGCGACUUAGUGGUCUAUAGUUGACGAGGAGGUACGAAAGCGUGGGUAGCAAACAGGAUUAGAUACCCUGGUAGUCCACGCCGUAUACGAUGAUAACUAGCUGUCCGGGUACAUGGUAUCUACGGUGGCGGAGCUAACGCAUUAAGUUAUCCGCCUGGGGAGUACGGUCGCAAGAUUAAAACUCAAAGAUCUUGACGGCGGCCUGCACAAGCGGUGGAGCAUGUGGUUAGAAUUCGAAGCAACGCGCAGAACCUUACCAGCGUUUGACAUCCUGAUCGCGGAAAGUGGAGACACAUUCUUUCAGUUCGGCUGGAUCAGAGACAUCUGCUGCAUGGCUGUCGUCAGCUCGUGGAGUGAGAUGUUGGGUUAAACCCCGCAACGAGCGCAACCCUGGCCUCUAGUUGCCAUCAUUAAGUUGGGCACUUUAGAGGAACUGCCGGACAUAAGCCGGAGGUGGUGGGGAUGACGUCAAGUCCUCAUGGCCCUUACGCGCUGGGCUACACACGUGCUACAAUGGCGGUGACAGAGGGCCGCAAGCCUGCAAAGGUUAGCUAAUCUCAAAAAGCCGUCUCAGUUCGGAUUGUUCUCUGCAACUCGAGCUCAUGAAGGCGGAAUCGCUAGUAAUCGCGGAUCAGCAUGCCGCGACGAAUACGUUCCCAGGCCUUGUACACACCGCCCGUCACACCAUGGGAGUUGGAUUCACCCGAAGGCGCUGCGCUAACCCGCAACGAGGCAGGCGACCACGGUGGGUUUAGCGACUGGCGUGAAGUCGUAACAAGGUAACCA